rnacentral:rRNA from 1 species
CAUCUAAGUACCCCGAGGAAAAGAAAUCAACCGAGAUUCCCCCAGUAGCGGCGAGCGAACGGGGAGGAGCCCAGAGCCUGAAUCAGCAUGUGUGUUAGUGGAAGCGUCUGGAAAGGCGCGCGAUACAGGGUGACAGCCCCGUACACAAAAGCGCAUGUGUUGUGAGCUCGAUGAGUAGGGCGGGACACGUGGUAUCCUGUCUGAAUAUGGGGGGACCAUCCUCCAAGGCUAAAUACUCCUGACUGACCGAUAGUGAACCAGUACCGUGAGGGAAAGGCGAAAAGAACCCCGGCGAGGGGAGUGAAAAAGAACCUGAAACCGUGUACGUACAAGCAGUGGGAGCACCCUUUGGGGUGUGACUGCGUACCUUUUGUAUAAUGGGUCAGCGACUUAUAUUCUGUAGCAAGGUUAACCGAAUAGGGGAGCCGGAGGGAAACCGAGUCUUAAUUGGGCGUUAAGUUGCAGGGUAUAGACCCGAAACCCGGUGAUCUAGCCAUGGGCAGGUUGAAGGUUGGGUAACACUAACUGGAGGACCGAACCGACUAAUGUUGAAAAAUUAGCGGAUGACCUGUGGCUGGGGGUGAAAGGCCAAUCAAACCGGGAGAUAGCUGGUUCUCCCCGAAAGCUAUUUAGGUAGCGCCUCGUGAACUCAUCUCCGGGGGUAGAGCACUGUUUCGGCUAGGGGGCCAUCCCGGCUUACCAACCCGAUGCAAACUGCGAAUACCGGAGAAUGUUAUCACGGGAGACACACGGCGGGUGCUAACGUCCGUCGUGAAGAGGGAAACAACCCAGACCGCCAGCUAAGGUCCCAAAGUCAUAGUUAAGUGGGAAACGAUGUGGGAAGGCCCAGACAGCCAGGAUGUUGGCUUAGAAGCAGCCAUCAUUUAAAGAAAGCGUAAUAGCUCACUGGUCGAGUCGGCCUGCGCGGAAGAUGUAACGGGGCUAAACUAUGCACCGAAGCUGCGGCAGCGACACUAUGUGU